AAGGGAGCGUAGGCGGCUGAUUAAGUCAGCGGUGAAAGGUAGCAGCUUAACUGUUUUACAUGCCGUUGAUACUGGUUAGCUUGAGUUGACAGAAGGCAGAUAGAAUUCCUGGUGUAGCGGUGAAAUGCUUAGAUACCAGGAGGAAUACCGAUUGCGAAGGCAGUCUGCUGCAGUCACACUGACGCUGAGGCUCGAAGGUGCGGGGAUCAAACAGGAUUAGAUACCCUGGU
rnacentral:rRNA from 1 species